GGUGGUUGUUGGUUGAGUGUGAGAGCUGUACUCCUUCAUCGAUCUCUGAUCUUGUUCGUCGAUGAAUUCUGCGCCUGUCAUCGUCGCCAAGGUAUGGUUUUGUGUUCUACUGAUGCGUGUCCAUGGAUGUUCCUGUGUCGAUUUUUGGUUCGUGCCUGUGUGACUCCAUUCAUGCUCAUGAACUGUUUGAUCUUAUGUCCCUUCACUGUGAGACGUUAAAUUUGUUUUUCUUAUUUCAGAAAUCGCACUAAUCGGUUCGUCGUCAGAUUUGCCAUGCUGUUUCAUGUGCUCAAAGGAUCAUCUUUCUCUUCAGGUUCGAUUUUCAGCACUUUUCCUUGCCGCUUCAGUUUAUUGUGCUUUUUCUUGUAUGAGAUUUGAAGCAAGUUCAUCCUUCUUCUUCUUCUUAGAGAUUCUGAUGAGAAUUGUUAUGUGUACAAGCAUAAAUUUGAGAUCAAUUCUGCUGUGUUAUACGCUUUAAAACGAGAUCAACCUAAGUGGACUUGUUUGUGCCGUUUAAAAUUCAGUUAUGUGCAAAGAAACAGCAAAUACCAGUUUACUGUAACUUUUCUUGUAUGAGAUUUCAAGCGAGAUUGUUCAGUUCGUUCUUCUUUUUGUUCCUAGAGAUUCUGAGAGAGAAUGUUAUGUGCCGCUGUAUAAAGAUGUUUUGUGUUGCUGACGUUUAAAAUUCAGCUAUCUACAGAGAAACAACAAAUACCAGUGUACUGUAGAUUUUCUUGUAUAACGCUCCAAGCAAGAUGGUUCGGAUGGUUCUUAUUUCUCUUCUUAGAAAUUUGGAGCAAGAUGCAGU
rnacentral:lncRNA from 1 species